rnacentral:rRNA from 1 species
UACGGAGGGUGCAAGCGUUGUCCGGAUUUAUUGGGUUUAAAGGGUGCGUAGGCGGCCAUUUAAGUCUGGGGUGAAAGCCCGUUGCUCAACAACGGAACUGCCCUGGAAACUGGAUGGCUUGAGUACAGACGAGGGUGGCGGAAUGGAUGCUGUAGCGGUGAAAUGCAUAGAUAGCAUCCAGAACCCCCGAUUGCGAAGCAGCUGCCUAGACUGUAACUGACGCUGAGGCAGCGAAAAGCGUGGGGAGCGAACAGG